rnacentral:rRNA from 1 species
GAUGAACGCUGGCGGCGUGCUUAACACAUGCAAGUCGAACGGUGAAGCAGGAGCUUGCUCCUGUGGAUCAGUGGCGAACGGGUGAGUAACACGUGAGCAAUCUGCCCUGGACUCUGGGAUAAGCGUUGGAAACGACGUCUAAUACCGGAUACGAGGCGUGGGGGCAUCCCCAACGCCUGGAAAGAACUUCGGUCCAGGAUGAGCUCGCGGCCUAUCAGGUAGUUGGUGAGGUAACGGCUCACCAAGGCAACGACGGGUAGCCGGCCUGAGAGGGUGACCGGCCACACUGGGACUGAGACACGGCCCAGACUCCUACGGGAGGCAGCAGUGGGGAAUAUUGCACAAUGGGCGCAAGCCUGAUGCAGCAACGCCGCGUGAGGGAUGACGGCCUUCGGGUUGUAAACCUCUUUUAGUAGGGAAGAAGCGAAAGUGACGGUACCUGCAGAAAAAGCACCGGCUAACUACGUGCCAGCAGCCGCGGUAACAC